AACAUUCUUGCUUAUAUUUUUCUCUGAGCUAGGGGACAAAACCUUAUUUAUUGCGGCACUUUUAGCAGCUAGGAACUCCAGUGCUGUUAUUUUUAUUGGGACUUUUGGCGCACUUGCGAUAAUGACAAUCAUAUCGGUUGUUCUAGGACGAACUUUUCAUUAUGUUGAUGAUAUCCUUCCAUUCAGGUACUGUACUUAAUAGAUUCUGUCAAUUUUUUAUUUACGAUGUUCUAGUAAAUCAUCAAACAUGUGGGUAAAUUACAGGCAUCAUCUUAUUUGUCCUGCCCAUGAUAUCUGUAGCAUAAAAGACAAGUAAUCUGCUGCUCAUUGUCAUCCGUCCAAUUUUCCAACACCAGUGAAAAUAUUUUAUAUACUUCCAGAAGAAUAGGAUAUGAUUGCAUGAUUUUGCAUCGGAAGACCAUCCUGUGGUCUUUACCGAUUCCUGCAUAUUAUACUGAAAAAAUAAGAGUAGUCAUCCUUGCUCUCUAUUCUAACUAGAAGAUGAGUCAAUUGAUUAAUCAAGCAUUGUCCUAAUACAGUUUUCUGAAUGGCAGAUUUGGUGACCAUGAUUUACCUGU